rnacentral:miRNA from 10 species
ACGUGCAUUCUUGGGUAAAUAAU